rnacentral:rRNA from 1 species
CCUACGGGAGGCUGCAGUGGGGGAUAUUGCACAAUGGUGGAAACCCUGAUGCAGCGACGCCGCGUGUAGGAAGACGGUCCUCUGGAUUGUAAACCACUGUCCCCAGGGACGAAGAUUACGGUACCUUGGGAGGAAGCUCCGGCUAACUACGUGCCAGCAGCCGCGGUAAUACGUAGGGAGCGAGCGUUGUCCGGAAGUACUGGGUGUAAAGGGAGCGUAGGCGGGACUGCAAGUUGGGUGUAAAAUCUACCGGCCCAACCGGGAGCCGCACGCAAAACUGCAGGUCUUGAGUGAAGUAGAGGCAGGCGGAAUUCCUGGUGUAGCGGUGAAAUGCGUAGAUAUUAGGAGGAAAACCAGUGGCGAAGGCGGCCUGCUGGGCUUUUACUGACGCUGAGGCUCGAAAGUGUGGGGAGCAAACAGGAUUAGAUACCCUUGUAGUC